CCAAACCACAUCCACCCAUGGUGUUGAGAAGGGAGUUGCAGAUUUAUUGAGCUCAGCCCUGUAAUGUAAGAGAGGAAAGACACAGAGUGUUUCUCCCUGUAAAGCGAGAUAAGAUGCGGUGCCGGAACACCACUGUGCACUGCCUGAUGGAUGAUAGCCUGAAGCUGUGUGUCUGCACUGCAGAGACAGUUAAUUACUGGCCCGAUAAACUAUAACGUUGGAGACUCUUCCACUCCUUUUUUUCCUUCCCUGUCCGUCCACCCGAGCAUCCUGACCUGAUGACCUGUGCAGUAGUAGUGCCCAGGCUGCCCGCUCCUCCCACUGUUGGCAUCCUCACUGCUGAGAAGUUGGAUGCUGAACCCAGGGAGCAGCGAGAAUGAUCAGGCAAGGGCAGGGCAGAGAGGUGAGCAUCCGGGAGCAAGGGACGGUGAGAGAAACAAUGACGGUGCUAAUCCUGUGACUUCCCUCGACUUGGCUCCUUUAAAAUAGAGGCCACAUGGUGUGGCCUUGUAUGUGUAGACCUUCGAGGAAUAAGCUUGAAACAGACCAACAGGUGUGUGUGUUUUCACCUGGGUCAGUGGUGACAGUUUAGGUACAUGAAGAGAUCUCAGGUUUGGGUGACACGGUGGGCCCUUUGUAUGCCUGGACCUCCCUUACCUGAUAGGUUCUCAUGCUUUAUACCCAGAUAAUGAGAACACUGAGAUGAAGGAGGACUGGGGAGGGUUUGAUGUAGAAUGGAUAGCUAAGAAAGAAUGCGUGGACAAGACCGGACAGGUAGCUCACCUAAAGAGGACCUGUGUUUGAUACCCAGAAGCCACAUUAAAAAACGGGAUGGUGGUGUACACUUGAAAUCCCAUGGUAUAGGCAGCGACAAGGUGGGCUUGGGGCUUGCUGGCCAGCCAGUCAGACCAGUGAGCUCUGAGCCAGCCUGGGGAGGGGUGGGGGGAAUGGAGGACAGCAUCUGAGGCAUGAUGUCAUCGCCUGUCUUCUGGGCUGCAGGACAUCUUUACACAUACAGGCUUUGUACACAUGAGGACACACAAGCACACGAAGAGAGCAAGUUGGCACGACACUGCUACAUGGAGUUUAGCAUGCGGUAGCCAGCAUUCCAGUCCCAAUUCAUAGGGCGAGUUUGUAAGUGGCAGCUAAGGCAUUGUCUAGUCAUCUUUACUUGUGGCUUAGGUUUGACGCAAUGGGAACGGGAAAGUGACCUCGAACUCCCUUCUACCCAGACUCCAUCUUCAGCUUAAAAGUUUGUGCCCAAGUCAGCGUGACAGCUAGUCCUAACGAAGGUAACCCUGGGAAUUUCUACAUCAAGGUCAAGCAUUGCAACCAUGAGAAAAUGACAGGCUCUUCCUCCACUUGCUCUCCUCACCUCUCUGUAGAAGACACACUGAAUCUCUUCUGCCUUCUGGGAUGGGUUUGUUUAUUAACUCAAGCAAGAUCACAGGGGACAUUCUCAAUGCCCCAUCUAGAGAGCUUCCUGCCCUGAGUCACGUGUGCCAACCUCAGACACCCUGCAGCCUGGAUUAGGGAGCAAUGAACGGGUGCAUGGUUUUAAAAGAGAAACACACCCGGGCUACAAGGAACAGAAUCCUUAAAAACAAAGAAAGGAGUUGACUUUGUACUCUUAAAAAAAAAAAGUUGAUCACCAGAACAGAGUCAUUUAUUCCGUGAGGUAAUGGCAAUGCACUGUUUCAGAGGGGUGUGACCUUGGCUGGUCAAACCCCAUUCUUCGUCUAUGGCCACCUACAAAGCCAGAAUCUUUAGCCAAGACCUAGGAAAAAGUUGAGUGCAACAGGUGGUCCUCCCUGCUGAUGACACAGUUCUUCAGGCUUCUAAAAUCACCUGUUUAGUCUGUCACUCAUUUAGCCAGUAGCUGCCCCCUGUUUUGAGAUACACAAUGAAAAGGUUUACUCUAUUGCCCCAUUUACUUUAUAGUCUCAGUGGCUGACUCACCUGCCAAGAGAUGACAGAAGCCAAGGUUCAAGGAAAGUCACUCCCAUUUGCUCAUCUGCAGUAGAGGGGACAGAUGAAGAAGAAGCAGCAGAAGGCAGAGAUACUCAGCCCCUCCCCCUUCUGCUUCUAGCCAUGCCUCUGACCUCGUUACAGGGUCCUCAAUUAGUGUGCUUGAUGGUGCCCGCCUUCUUGAAGGGCCUGGAACACAGACACCACUUAAAAGCUGAAAGUAUACUCCACCCACCUCCAUUCCCCGCUGGUCUUCUCCUCUGAGUACAGCAGCCUUGCAGGAGUGAGCACAGGCUCUAGCUUCAAACUGAAGAACAGAAAGGAGAGAGAGAGCUGGACUCAGUAGCUUCUUACCUGCUGUUGCUUAACUACAAUGGAGUUAGCAUUCGGAACAAAAGUGUGGGUGCAUCCGGGCCCGUUUUCCUGUCUUCCUCUUCUAUGCUUGCUUGUUCGUCUUUCUGCUCGCUUGCUUGCUUGUUUUGUUUGGUUUUGCAGCAAGAUCUUACCAUGUCUAUUUGGCUGCUCUGGAACUUUGUAGACUGGGCUGAUGUUGAACUUACAAAGCUCUGCCUACCUCGGGCUCUGAGUGCUGGGAUUAAAGACAUGCACCGGCACACCAGGCUUCCUCCCUGCUUUCUUGAUUAUUAAGAAUGAAAGCAGUAGAAAUAAAGGAGGGCAUCAUAUGAAUAUCUAUUGUUUGGAUUUUCUAAGUCAUAAAUUCAUUAUUUAUUUAUAUAUUGAGAUGGGACCUUUAGGUAACCAAGGUCAGUAUUUUUUUUUUACAGAUAGAUUUAUUUUUACUUUAUGUAGUAAGGUGUUUUUCUUACAUAUGUGUCCGUUCACAUGCAUGCCUGGUAUCCACAGAGACCAGAAUCGGACAUUGAACCCCCUGAAACUGAAGUUACAGAUGGUUGUCAGGUGCCGUGCAGGUGCUAGGAAUGCAACCCAGGUCCUCUGGAAAAGCAGCCAGUGCUCUUAACUGCUAGACCCGUCCCCCAGCCCCUCAGGCCUGUCUUGAGCUCACUAUAUAGUUAAGGAUGACUUGGAACUUCUGACCCUUCUGCCUUCCAGCACCUACUGAGUGCUAGAAUUACAGCCUUGUGCCACAACACCCAGUUUAUUUGCUGAAUGGAGGUGGGAGAUAGACCCCAGGACUCUGCCUACUGAACUGCAUCCUAAACCCUAGGCCAAACUGCCUUCUCUGAAAGAUGAGACUAUAAAUCUUUAGAUACGGUUUGCUUUAAUGAGCAGUGCUAAAAUAUAAUCUAUAUUUUAUAGCCCUUAUUUGAAUCAUAAGCAAAAAAUACAUAACAGAUCUUGUUUCUUAUUACAUUUGUGUGUGUGUGUGUGUGUGUGUGCGCGUGUGCGCGCGCGCGCGCGCGCAUGCGCACAUGUACAUAAUCAGGACAACUAGCAGAAAUCAGCUUUUUUCUCACAGUGUGGGUCUGAGUUAAAACUGAGGUCAUGAGGCUUGGUGGCAAGUGCCGUUACCCAUUAACCCAUCUCACUAGACAAGAGAUCUUCUAAGAGUUUAGUAACAUCUCGCGUAGUUGCCGUAAAGACAGACAGAAAUGCCGUAAAGACAGAAAUGCCGUAAAGGCAGUGUGGUAGAAUACGCUGGCAUUGACCAACUUCCUGUCACAUGGUACUUCCUGCUCUCGUCAGAUGGCCUCACCAGCAUCCAUCCUGCUUCUGCCUCGGGGUUAGAAUUGGUCUUAGAGACGGGGCAGUGAGGACCUGGGUGGGGGUGGUUGGUGCCUGUGAGUUUUCAGUCUAAAAAGAGAAGCGUCUCAACAAAAUAACUGCAUGUGCACUGAUGGAUAGAUGUUGCCUGCUAGCAACAGUUACUCUAAAACCCUAGUCCAGGAACCUUAAACUCUGGCCCAACCAGUGUCUCCCUGCCCAAUUGUCCGUGGCUUCCACCAAGCUUGCACCCAAGGUCCUCGGGACACGCCCACACUUGCCAUCCUGUGCUGGGAUCUCUACCCGGGAGAGGUCAGCUUCUCUGUGCCCUCUUCAUGGACACACACCCCGUCAACCCUGGCAGACUUCUCUGUCAGAUGUGGCACCCUCCUUUGAGCACCCGUGGGUGAUCUGCAGUUCUCUUGUUUCCCCUCUGCAAUUGUAUGCAUAGAGAAAAAGAUUCCAGCCCAGACGCUGCACGGCUCAACAUGAGAGCUCCAGGAGAGGACCUGAGUUCAGUUCCUACCACUCGGAUCGCAUGGCUCAAACCACCUAUAGCCAGCGCCUUCUUCUGGACUCCAAAGACCCUCUCACACAUACAGGCAUUAAAAAAAAAACAUAAAUAAAAACAAGUGUUUUGUUUUAAAAA
rnacentral:sRNA from 1 species